CGGCAAUAGCCACAGCAGCCGUGGAGAGGUUCGACCCAAUAUUAAGUAAUUUUAUUAUGAGAGGCUUCAAAACACAGCCUCCUGCUAGGUCACGAAGGAAGAGAGACAUCACUUUCAACACCUCCAAGGGUCCAGACUUGGGAACUUGCACUCGCAUAUAUAUAUAUAUAUACUGUAAAGUUCGCUGAACAUAAUCAUUAAGCGCAAUUUACCUACAAAGUCGCAUGCCGCCAACAUGGCCCGUGCAAAAUGAUUAUUACCAUACGCCCCGGCAGCAACUGCAGCCUGAACCCGAGGCACAACCACAACAAAGGGGUAUACCAUUCCAUUCCAAUCAUCCCAUACCAUAUCGUAUCGGUUCGGGUUCGGGGCAACGGGCCACCAGGCAAGCGAAACGAAAGACUCGAGGCACGAACUUGACGUGCUCAAAUCCAAAGUGUGGCAAAUCAGCUGGCUUAAAUCGACCUGCAUGCCCGCAAAUAUAACUAAACAAAUAAAUGCUUAACAUCGGCGCAAUAAAGAGGGAGAAAAAUACACGCCAUUCGAAAUAUAAAUCGUGUGGCUUACAUGGAGACAAGUCAAGUGAAAGCUGUUGGGCUGGGCUCUUUACGAAACCGUCUGUAGUCCGUGUUUUUUGCUUCUUCGCCGCAUUUCUGUUUUCUUAAGCACAUAACAGGCAACUGUCAAUAAAUAAUCAAAAUAAACCCGAA